AGGCAGAGCUAUCGAGAGGGCCUUUCUGGGGUUGCCUGCAAAAGACCGGUUAUGUGAUUCCAUUCCCCAUGUCCUGUGACAUAAGAGAUGAAUGCUCCUGCCGGGAUCUGAAUGCUUUCGAGAACAGGAAGGAUGAACACCUCCACUCCCUCGGGUGACCGCCCUGCGCAGGGACCUCUGUUCAACGUCCCAUUGCUCCAACACAACACGGCCUGAGUCGCUGUGAGAUCAGCAGAUCCCUUCUUCAUCCUCCUCUCGGCCUCCAAGUUUCCUGCACAUGCUGCUUAACAGGCAUACCUCUCCAUCCAUACUGCAACCUCAACCAGCUGAAUGGUCUCCGCCUCCACGUCACUGAAAGAUCUAGAAUAAAUGAUGGACCCCUUGAGACUCCACAGUAAAUUCCUCAGCUAAAAGGAAAGUAACUCCUGCAAUUACAUAAUAAUCAAAGAAAGCAAUUUCUUUUCUUAUUUUUAAGAAGGAAAACAAAUACAGAAGAGAACCUGAACAAAAAAUAUAACCCAGCCUAGGUAGCAUGCCUUUUGUUCUGGCUUCAGUGUCUAUUAGUGACCUUGCUAUACAAUCCUAUCAUUGAACUAAAGUUUAUUAAAAUUAUGGAAGUGGGGGAUUGUGUUUAUGUUGGCUCUGUGUUUUACAAAUAUGAAGGAAAUCAAGACAAAAUAAUCCUCAGACACUUUAAUUGCAUCUUUUUAGAGGAGCUUAUAUCAUUCCUGGUUCUUAACCGGUCAGACAUUCUGUAUUGUAUGUAUGUCAUUUUCAGAAGUGUGUUUCUUCGUAGGCACGUCAGAGGCUAUAGAGGUUAUUUCUAGCUUGGUGGGGAAUGCGACAGCCAUGUAGUUAAGCUUCAAGCCACAUGUUCAACACAAAAGCCAAAAGAUAAUGCACAAAUACAGUACAAAAAAAAAUCAACAACACACAUACACAAUAUCCUAAGAACAUUUUAUACUUAAAGCAAAUUCCCGAAUGCAUAUUAAAAACAAUUUAAGCAUGGCUUAUGCUACUGUGUUUGCUGCUACUUCACAUUAUUAUAUCUAAUAGGGUGAGACAGCUUUGUGUGCCAUGCCGCUGACAGGACCUCUCUAUAGCAUCCAUUCACACGUGCAUGUUAGUGCAUCAUACUUUGAAAGAACACAGGUUGAAAUCACCAGAUAUGAUAUGCACUAAGAACUUAAAAAAAAAAAAACCCAGAACCUCACUUGUCAUCCCCCUUCUUACCCAACCGCUCAAUAAAAUAGCUACCACGACUUAAAGAAUGUCAUUGUUAACACCUCGCUUUAGGUUGGGGUGAUUCAAGGUUCAGUUUGAACCCCUCCCUCUCGACGCUUGAAUAGAACUCGUUACCUCAAGCGCUGGUUAAAAAAAAACCCGAUUCUAGCCCUGUUCAGAAUGUAGUCAAUGCUUGUCGGGGGUCUGUGGCUUUUUUUGUUGUUUUUGAUCGCACAGUCCUACACAGCACAGCCACACAAUAGUAAAUAAAUAAAGGGCUGGAUAUCUGCCAUGGCUUUGACUGAAAGUGAGUACAGGUGGAAGGAGACAACAUCUGACACCUAAAUAGAUACACAUAUAUCUCUCCUUCCCUCCCCGUCCCAGUAGUUGUGGAUUCUCAGCUGUUGUGCUGCACACAAUUAACUAGUAUACAUAAACAUGACAUUUGGAUGUAUAUUUCAUCACAGCAUUUGCAGUCACAAUAUAAUCAAAAGGUUCCUACGAGUUGCUGCUGGGUCUAGUUUUUAAGGAAUGCAUUGAUGCAGUUAUGUUUGUCUCUGCAGUAAAAAGUGCACUUGGAUUUUUUUGACCAGCACUUUCCAGUAUUGUGAACUUGGGUGUCCGUCCCCACCAAUUAACUUCUUUAGAUGUUAUGGCUGCUACAAUAGCUUCGUGUUUUGAUAUUCUUCACUAAAGUCGCAUAAACAGUAGUUUUUUUACUCAUGCACUCAAGGCUGCUCGACAUAUUGAUCCAAAUUUCACAACAAUUUCAUAUCAUUUUAAACCAAUGUUGGUGAAGAACUAAAGGCAUUCAGAAAAAGUGAUAUGGUAUUUUUAUCCUCCAAAUAGAACUUUUUUUUCCCAUGUAAAUAUUACUAUAUGUUGUUGAUGGACAACUGUGUUGAAACAUGUUUUUGGUUUUUGUUUGUAUUUCAUUUUUUACACAAUGUCAUAUUUAAUCAGUGUUUAUAUUAUUGACCUCAGUUACUGCACUUUUUUUAUUUUCCGUGUAAGGAGAAAAGUAUAUCUUUCAAAAAUGUUUAGAAGCUGCUAUUGUCCGAAUGGUGAUCUGAAACAAACUGAAUGUCAUGAUAUUCAGUCGUUUGACUCCCUGUGUCGCUAUUAGCUUUCCUAUCAUUAGUAUGAUUUGUGUUUGGCCAUGAUUCCUUCUUUUCAAUCCUAAGCUGACUUUGCAUUUGAGGUUAUCAAUGAAGUAGAGAGGUAUUGUCUCUACAAACAAUGAAUCCAUCCGUCUUUCCAUCAUCCACACAGGACCCACAAACCCCCACCAAAAGUUGGAAAAAUAGAUUUUUAUUUAAGGUCUAACUACUGCAAGUUAGUUUGCAAUGGGGAAGGAUACUAAAUGAAUUAAACGGGACUCAUGACUAACUUUUAGGAAAUAUGAACUUUGAAAGCACGUUCUAUAGGCUCUAUCAUCAGAUUACAUCAAAACAUAUAAAGUCCUGCAUACAUUUUUUGGGGGGGAUAUUAUCAAAUUAUAUGUAAUAUUAAUGGUAAAUGGAAUGUAUUUGUAUUGUGCUUUUCUAGUCUUCUGACCGCUCAAAGCGCUGCAACAAUACAUGUCAUCAUUCAUGUAUUGAUGGCAGGAGCCACCCGCCCAGCAGCACCUAUCGUUCACAACCGCUAUUCACAGCUACGGGAGCAAUUAGGGGUUAAGUGUCUGUGGAGCUGGAGAUCGAACAAUCGAUCUUCUGGUUGUAGGGCUGCCCCGCUCUCCAUUAAGUAGGACCUACUCCUGGAAAUGCUGCUUAACACUUAACACAGUACUGCAAUUGACUGCACUGAAAAGUCAUGCUAACCUUUUUAAACGGAUUAAUCAAAACUCAAGUCAUUGAAUCCUUCCCUUCUUCAUAUAAAUGAACAUGACCGGCCGUCGCGUCCAAAAACGUAGAACUAUGAAGUAUUCCCUUUUGUGUCAUUAGUCAUUUUUUGGAUCCCAAAAUCAGAAAGGCUAAAGAAUGGGACUUCACGUCAGCUUAAAAAACGACAUUCUUAAUACUGGAGAUGGUACAAAUUAGCCAUAUCUAACCACAAUAGUACCACAAAGUAACACAAUUAUGAAUUGGAUGAGGACAUCACCUCUCUACUGUAGUCAUCACAGGAUCUCUUACUGUACCUCAUGCCUGUAAUGUUUGCUGCUUCUACACUUUUGGUAUUUUAGUGACAUUGUUGCGUCUCAUAACAGUGAUGUACAUAGUAGAACUAUUUAUUGAGAGUGUUAUACUUUUUUAAGUUAUAUUUAAUGUCCACGUAAGUUAUUUUUUACACAAAAAACAUCAUCGGUUGUGAGUCAAAACUGUAAUUUGUCUCUGAUGCUUUGUUGUGAUCAUUUCUGUCAUGCAUCGACCAGACGCACAAUACACUUCAGACUCACAUCCCCACAAGAAACUCAUUGGUCAUAAAGUGUAGAUGCAUCCAAUGAGGAUCCAACUCAUGUCCAAAUGUUACUGAGUGCAGUGUAUCAUUUUCCCCCUUUAACACCCGAAUGUAAAGUUUUUCCUUUUUAUUUGCUAUUUUUUUUAAAUCCACAAAUUAGCCAACACGUACCAUAUGAGGUGUUGUGAAAAGAGAACCAAGUAUAUAAUGGUCAAAUGAAUAAAUCCAUAGUUUAGCGAAUUAUGUUUCACGAGAACAGUCCAAGACAAAAAAAAAACAUACGUACACAGCCAGGAUGGGAGAGAUGUGUCAACAGUUUAAGGGAAAGAAGGACUUGAUGCCACAGGACAGUUGAUGGUUGCCCCAGAAAGAGUUCUUGGACUGCGGGAGAGUAGAAGGUGGGCAGGGAGAGAGAGGCAGGGGGGAGGGACGGGUGGGUGCUUUUCCUGGCUUGUCCGGCUAUUUGUCCAGGUGUGAAAGUGUGUACUCACAGAGGCUGCCCCUGGGCUCGGGGUGGCCAAGCGCUGACUGGCAACCAGCCGAGGCCAAUGAGUCAAUUUCUCCUGGUGGGGGGGGGGGGCGGCAACCAUACGUUUGUGGGACUCCCACCGCCCCCUCCUCCCCCAUGUCCCCCCCACCCUCCUGGACACACUGCCUCAUCUGUCACUGUCAGGUAUGCCUGCUCAGGGCUGCCAGGGUCAAGCUGGCCCUGUGAAAAUGGGAGAGGAUGUUUGCCCAGCUUACAGAGCCUUUUGAAGUUUUGUAGGCUGAAGGAACACAGUUCUCCUCACCUAGAUCCUAUGCUUAUCACAUAAUAUGAUUUGUAUAGCAGCCUUUUUUUUUUUUUUUGACAGGCUUUGAUACCUCUCCACAUUUUCCACCAACAGUCGCUUCUUUGUUUCUAAUUUAACACCCUGCUUGUCGAAAAAAAAUGCCAGAAACCUUGUUUCUAACGCAUUUCAAAGCCAUGGGAAGCGUAGGUAAAAGUGUCUAAAGCCGUAAUAUGUUUGUUCAGAUCAUUGCGGAAAAAAAAUACUGAUGUGCCAUCUUGUUGUAAGACAUUUUCCUUGUGUAUUGUAACACAUGAAAGUACCUCUCACAGGCCUCUGGUUAUAGAAUGGUCCACUUAUGUCUGUUUCCUUAUCCCUCAAUAAAUAAAAAAAGGUGAAUGGUCCUUUUUUUCUAAGUGGAAAAUAAUAAAAAAAAGUGUAUUUACAUAUUACGUGGAUAUCUAGUGGUAUUGCGAUGUUUCGUACCCAAUUGCUCAACAAAUAUAUUUUAAGAUGUAAAUAAUAUAUGAUUGUAUUUGCAAACCAUGUACUAACUGUUGGGAGUAGCUCUCUGAUUGGUUUUCAUCAUAACUAGUAUACAAAAAGAUGAACCGUGAAUAUGUUGUGCAUUGUGUCAAAGUAUCACCUGCAAGACAGAAAAAAGAAAAAAAAGACCUGUGAUGCUUUACCACACCACUCCCUGUCAGCAUUCAUCUGUUAAUAAUGGCUUAGUACAAGCACUGUUGUCAGUUGUCUAAACCAUGAAGUUAUCCAUUGAGUCAUUAAAUAUUUAUUUGUUGUCAAGAUGAAUAAAAACAUUGGUCAUUUCUGCAGUUUCGGAGUCUGUUGGAGUUGAUCCUCACGUCAAACCUGACUGAUCGUUGCGGUGCAUCUGCGCGUGCAUUUCAAAAUAGUCCGCAGACAGCUUUCCAUUCCUUACUCAUUCCUGUUGAGUCUAAUCCCGAUAACUUCGUGUUUUUGCUGGGAAUUUCACCAACACUGUAAAGGUUAGCCAACAGACCCAGUCGUCCCUCUGAUGGCCUGCUGUCUCUUUGGUUCUUAAACAGUACCCACUUUUUCAGGCACAUAUACAACAGAUUGGACUUUUAUGUUAAAGCCAAUAUUUCCCUCUGUUUUCACCGUUGCGGUUGAAUAUAUUUUUGGUGCUCUGGUACAUGGCAAAACAUGUCUGUGUACUAUAUUUUCAUAAGGAAGAGUCAUAUUAUCAUCUUUUUCAUUCUGCUGUCAUUUAUUGUGUAGAAAUAAAACACUGGUUAAAGUGAA
ensembl:lncRNA